UAUGUAGGGACCAAGCGUUGUUCGGAUUUACUGGGCGUAAAGGGCGCGUAGGCGGCGUGGUAAGUCACUUGUGAAAUCUCCGAGCUUAACUCGGAACGGCCAAGUGAUACUGCUGUGCUAGAGUGCGGAAGGGGCAAUCAGAAUUCUUGGUGUAGCGGUGAAAUGCGUAGAUAUCAAGAGGAAUACCUGAGGUGAAGACGGGUUGCUAGGCCGACACUGACGCUGAGGCGCGAAAGCCAGGGGAGCAAACGGG
rnacentral:rRNA from 1 species